rnacentral:rRNA from 1 species
AGAGUUUGAUCAUGGCUCAGAUUGAACGCUGGCGGCAGGCCUAACACAUGCAAGUCGAGCGGUAGCACAGAGAGCUUGCUCUCGGGUGACGAGCGGCGGACGGGUGAGUAAUGUCUGGGAAACUGCCUGAUGGAGGGGGAUAACUACUGGAAACGGUAGCUAAUACCGCAUAAUGUCGCAAGACCAAAGUGGGGGACCUUCGGGCCUCAUGCCAUCAGAUGUGCCCAGAUGGGAUUAGCUAGUAGGUGGGGUAACGGCUCACCUAGGCGACGAUCCCUAGCUGGUCUGAGAGGAUGACCAGCCACACUGGAACUGAGACACGGUCCAGACUCCUACGGGAGGCAGCAGUGGGGAAUAUUGCACAAUGGGCGCAAGCCUGAUGCAGCCAUGCCGCGUGUGUGAAGAAGGCCUUCGGGUUGUAAAGCACUUUCAGCGGGGAGGAAGGCGGUAAGGUUAAUAACCUCAUCGAUUGACGUUACCCGCAGAAGAAGCACCGGCUAACUCCGUGCCAGCAGCCGCGGUAAUACGGAGGGUGCAAGCGUUAAUCGGAAUUACUGGGCGUAAAGCGCACGCAGGCGGUCUGUCAAGUCGGAUGUGAAAUCCCCGGGCUCAACCUGGGAACUGCAUUCGAAACUGGCAGGCUAGAGUCUUGUAGAGGGGGGUAGAAUUCCAGGUGUAGCGGUGAAAUGCGUAGAGAUCUGGAGGAAUACCGGUGGCGAAGGCGGCCCCCUGGACAAAGACUGACGCUCAGGUGCGAAAGCGUGGGGAGCAAACAGGAUUAGAUACCCUGGUAGUCCACGCCGUAAACGAUGUCGAUUUGGAGGUUGUGCCCUUGAGGCGUGGCUUCCGGAGCUAACGCGUUAAAUCGACCGCCUGGGGAGUACGGCCGCAAGGUUAAAACUCAAAUGAAUUGACGGGGGCCCGCACAAGCGGUGGAGCAUGUGGUUUAAUUCGAUGCAACGCGAAGAACCUUACCUGGUCUUGACAUCCACAGAACUUUCCAGAGAUGGAUUGGUGCCUUCGGGAACUGUGAGACAGGUGCUGCAUGGCUGUCGUCAGCUCGUGUUGUGAAAUGUUGGGUUAAGUCCCGCAACGAGCGCAACCCUUAUCCUUUGUUGCCAGCGGUUAGGCCGGGAACUCAAAGGAGACUGCCAGUGAUAAACUGGAGGAAGGUGGGGAUGACGUCAAGUCAUCAUGGCCCUUACGACCAGGGCUACACACGUGCUACAAUGGCAUAUACAAAGAGAAGCGACCUCGCGAGAGCAAGCGGACCUCAUAAAGUAUGUCGUAGUCCGGAUUGGAGUCUGCAACUCGACUCCAUGAAGUCGGAAUCGCUAGUAAUCGUAGAUCAGAAUGCUACGGUGAAUACGUUCCCGGGCCUUGUACACACCGCCCGUCACACCAUGGGAGUGGGUUGCAAAAGAAGUAGGUAGCUUAACCUUCGGGAGGGCGCUUACCACUUUGUGAUUCAUGACUGGGGUGAAGUCGUAACAAGGUAACCGUAGGGGAACCUGCGGUUGGAUCACCU